CUUUUUGUCUUUUCAUUGUAAAGCAGUUGAUGCUACAAUCUGCCAAUUUGGUGGGUUUAUUCUGAGUACAAGAGCUUGAGUUUCAAGACCUGGUCACAUUCCCAGCUUUUGGUCUUAAAAGAUGGGCUUGAGUUCGGUUGUGGUGGUCCUGGGAAGCAUAGACCUGUCUGGAGCAGUGGUGUUUUUCUCUGUAAGGCUGUGGGAGCCCAGCGUGGGUAUGAGCUUGCCAGUGCUGUGUCCUCUUGAGUGUUUGUGGAGCAAACCAUCCCUGCCAGCACACCUGGGUGUGCUCCCUCCAAACAGCAGCCAUGGGAACAGUCUAACACGGAUGUAGUGCGGGCCACAGGUCAGAAAGCAGGUCAUUUAUUAGAGUGGAUGGACCUGCCCAGUGGAGUGAUGUGUUCAGGAGAACAGAAACACCAACCACAUCCUUGUAGAUAGAACAGCACUGGGAAACUUCACAUCAUGCAUUUCAAAUUGGUUAUAUUUUGAAUGUGCUUACUUCAUUAUUGUUUUAACCUAAGUUAAAUCAGACUGGGGUAAGCAAUGAAGAUCAACCAUUCCAGCUACUGUGUGCCUUUUAUUAUAAGGAACAUGGUAGGGUUUAUACUAGAAAAAGCAGAUGCUUUUUACCUGUUAUCUCUCCUUUGGCCAAGUAGGUUUUGAUUUUAUAGCAGUAAAUGCUUAACUCUUUGUACUACUGGGAUGCAGUGUUUGGCUUUAUGACUGCAGUGCAGGUCUUUUAUUAGUAAAACUUAAUGUGUAACAGGAUAAUUCCGUUGCACCUACUACUAUACAGGCUUGAUUUCGUGCAAAAUAAGUUUCUACUUCCUUGAUGGCCUUAUAUAAGCCUUAACUGGGAACGCAUCCAGCAUGUUCGAUGGGAAGAAAGGAGCUGCUUCAGAGCGGGCUCUUCUUUAGCAAUAGUCGUAAACAGGUUUAUAUAUAGGCACUGCUAUUACACACAAAGCUUGCUGAAGAAAUGCUUCUCCAGAACUAGUGGAUUUAAUGCAGGCCACAGGGACUGUGCUUGAGCUAAUUCGUGAGCAAACCUGUUGUAGUAACUCAGGGCAAGGUUUAAAACACAAGAACAUCUCUCAAAUGCAUAGCUGCUGCAAGGGCUGGGUGUUGAAAGGCUGUUUGCUGUAAAAACAGGCUCAGAAACUUCGGCUGGCAUCCUACAUAUGCAAAUGCAGGUGCUGUACAUGUUAUAUUUGGAUUUUAGGGUUUUUCAGCUGCAUUUCAAGUCGAUCAGGAGCAGCAUUAUGUGGUUGGAUCAGUGGCUUUCAUCACCCAUACCCAAUCAUUACACAGGCGCUCCAUCAGCCCCCUCUCCCCAACAGUGCCUGCAGCUGAGCAUCAGCACAUUUGGGAACAAUAAAGGGCUGUCAUUUGGGAGUUUCUUUGCCUUGUUAAUCAGGCAGGACCCCAAAUUCCUCCUUCACAGAGCUCACGGAUCAGGCUUGUGUCUCAGAACAGGUACACUUGCAUGUGAGCAAGGCGAGGGUUGGGCUUAGGGAGCUUUGUUGCUGAUGUACACGCAGCAUCGUUGGCUGCGUGCUCCGGAGGAGUUUGGGAUGGGUACAGGACAAACCAUGGCAAGGCUCCUGCCUUUGUGAUGGAUUUGGUUUGGGGCAUAAUUUGCUGGUUUUGUUCCUCGCCUCCUUCCGAACGAGCUGAAUUGUGAAAGAUAUGUUAAUGUGAGGAGACACACGGGAGAGGCUGAAGCAAUACACUGACACGUUGAAUAAUUAGAUCAUCUCCUGCGCAGGAAGAAAAGUCAAGUACGAAACAGGAACAAGAAGUGCCUCCCUCCCCCAUCGUACAGGCACCAGGUCUGGCUCCUUUCUGCAUGCAGAAGCAGGUGACUCAAAGCAGGAGCUAGCAGAUGGCUGCAUCGUUAGCUGGUGCCCACAGCCUUACGGGAUGAGGUUUGGAAUUCCCAUCAAAGUCGGGAUUAAGCGCUCAGGAUAUGCUGGUGGCACCGAGCACGCCGAGGCCGGGGGGGAGAGCCUGGAAGAAGAGGAAAUCAUUCCUAGCGACUCAUCCUGUGGUUGGUGGGCAAGUUUUCAGCUGGUGAUUUAUCAACAAAAGUAUUUUACAGGAUCAGAGUUAAAAGCUCUUCUUAAAACAAAUCUCCCCUUGUGCGAUAGGGAAAGUAAAAGCAGCUCGGGUUCCAAAGGAUGGAGGAAUAACCGAAAGAGCUAGUUCUUGGAAUAGUAGCUCCAUUGGCACUCGCUGGUGAUUUCCUGUGCAUUUGCUGCAAGAAUCACUCUGUGAUCCAAAAUGGAGCUGCAUCAGGACGGGUGCCUGCACCAAGCGAGGUGGUGCUUUGGAGCUGUUUGGUUCUGUUCUGGAAGCAGAUGGGCUGCCACUAGCAGGAGACAGUUGGCUUCUCCAUCCGAAAGGGGUGCUUAAGGGAAUUGGUCUGGCUCCUAAACCGAAGGAAUUGUUGACCUACUGACUCAGUUCGGAAGCAUUAGGGAAGCAGUCUUCCUGUGGUUUCUUUUGUUGGUGGCAGCUUCAGAAGACUUCUGUGAGCAUACAGGGAUGAGGAGCAACAGGAGAGAGUUCUGAUACCUGCUGCCUGUGGGAUUUAUGUAGAGCCAGGAGCGAGCUGAUGGCUGAGUAACGCUUAACCUUGUAUGUGAGAUGCUUCUGCUGGUAAUGCAUUGGUUUAUUGCCAAAACACAAGGUUGGCAGAAGUGAGUCAUAACUGUGAAGAGCUCAGCAUUGCUCUUUGAUUUACUUUCAUCCACCAAAAAUAAAAGGAUUUCCAAGAAUACAGGUAGGCAUACGCUGUUCUCCUGUUAGGGCAGAGCUCUCACUGGCUCCCGAGUGUAUUGCCAUAGCUCAUAGGAUGUAUUUCUGAAGCUCAAGUAUAAAAGGAGCUGUGUAUAUGUUUUAUGUAACCUUCACUGCAGGAGGCACGAGGAAUUCCUGGAGAAGGGACCAGAAUACAAGGCUCUGCCCUUUCUCCUGGGAGUCUCCUUCCUAUGGAGUCAUACCUACCCUCCAGUGCUUGUGUUCUGUGGCUCGGUGAAUCCUGAAGUCCAGUCUAAGCUGGCCCAGCUCCAGUGGGAAGGGCAGAAACCAACCUCAGCCCAAGCUCUGCUGCUGCCAGGGUUUUGUAGGAGGUGGGAUCUACAGGGUGAAGAGUGCCCAGCUUCCCAGGUGAGCUCUUAGCAUUGGGUUCCUAUUUAAAGGUGGCAGUACUGUCUUCUGUGGACAUGUUUUUGCAUUACCAUGAUGGUUAGAUGUCCUGCAGUUGUUUCAUGUGUGGUUUCGAGGGUAGCUUCUUCCAUGAUCAUCACUGGUGACCAUGUGGCCUUGGGGUGAGCCAUCUCAAGGUGCUGAUCUGGUUGAAACCCCCAUUUUUCUUCUCCCAGUAUUCUCUUUUGGGAAAGUUAGAGCUGAUCCAACUUAGCACAUAGCUGUAGUUCUGAUGGGGGCAGAGCAGGAACUCAUGGCCAGAAGCAGAGGAGGAGGUGGGAAUGUCACUUUCAGUGCCACCUGCGUGAAGUUCAGUUCAACCUGUUCAGGAAACAGCACCUCCCCUGUUUCUGAAGCACUGUGGAGCUCAACAAGAGCUGAUUUAACCCUGCUCUCCAAAACAAGCAUUGAGUUGUCAUCUUCCCUAGUUUCCUUUGGCAUCUGGAUUUUAGGUGUCUGAUUUAACUUCUGAGUACAGCAGGUAAUCAGUGUACUGCUUUUGUAUGUCCGUUUUCUGUUCAGAGCCUAAGUACUUGAGAGUAGGGUUAAUAGCAUUGUACAGAGGCAAAGAGGAGGUUAUCCUUUACUAUUUAGAACAGCAGUUAGUAACAGGACAAGGGGGGAAUGGCUUUAA